rnacentral:rRNA from 1 species
GGCCUCUUGACUUACAGUUGAGGUCGGGCCUUCCCGGUGGGUUGUUGUGCCUAAACGGAAGCGGUAAUGUGCUUAAUGUAACGUAUAACUAUUAAUUGUAGUUUGAGUGAAAGGUUUGACGAGUUUUUAGCUGUAUCUAGUUUAUUGUUGUUAAAUUGAGUUGUAGGUGAAAACGCCUAUAUGUGUAAGAGGGACGAGAAGACCCCGUGAAGUUUUAAUUUAGGUCACAGGUUGAAAAUAUUGAGGUGAUUGACAGUUUUGGCUGGGGCAGCAGAAAGGCAAUAUUAGACCUUUUAAGCAGUAGAAACAGAUAUGUUUUGAUCCACGUUAGUUUAUAUUCGUGAUUAACAGAAGGAGUUACUCCGGGGAUAACAGCGUAAUAUGUCUUGAUAGGUCUUAUAGAUAGACAAGUUUGCGACCUCGAUGUUGGCUCGGGGUAUCCGUAGCCUUGUAGCAGGGCUAAAUGGUUGGUUUGUUCGCCCAUUAAAACCCG